CCGAUGACAAACGCCACGACGACAGGGACCGUCGUGGCCGGGAUGGUUAGUGCCACCGUGAGGGUUGGGCGGGGCGCUUCUGGCGCAGCCUCUCCAGUCACUCGAGCGACGCCUCGUGCGACCAUGGUCGUGGCGAGGGGCGCAGCAGCGGCCGUGAUGACGCUGGCCGCAACCGCGAUGGCCAUCGACGUGCGGCGGGCGCGCCUGCCGUCAUGCUGGGCUCUGGUCCUCAAGUAUGAAGGUCGUUCGCGUCGCUGAGAUGGAGCCCCUGCUGGAUGUACCUUUAGAGGCUUGGCGUGGCCCCAGCUUGGCUCGGCACCCCUCAUCGGGUGCUGCUCGACACCGCUCCCAAGAUGCUCUCACGCCGCUAGAAUCACCACUGCUGUCUCCAACCACGGUCCGGCCGCCGUCGCCAAGGUCCAAGAGGAGUGAAGCUUGGUCCGACUCGUUGAUGCCGGCCGCACCAAGCCAGGCAUUGCUCCAGCUCUGCGCGCCCCCUUCCAUGCUGCUGUCGGUGUCGUCCCCCUCCAGGCCCCCUGGCUUUAAGGCCUCCCUGAUGCCGCCGCCGCCAUCCAACAGGCCAGUGAGUCGCCAGCCCUCGCCCGUGCGAUGUCGUAGUGUCGAUGCAUUCGGUGCGGUUGGCCUCCAGUGCCUCCCCCCGUUGUUCGAAGACUGUGUGGAGGCCAUCCUACCCACACCAGCUCUGACUCCAUUCCUGUCUCGGGCUCUCACGACUUGCCAAAAAACAUUGGCUGGUGUCUUCAUCUCCAGGGUUGGCGAUGGCCUCUUGCUUCACAAGACCAAGGCGUCAAGCUGCCCCAAGGCCUCUUCUGUGGCUCAUGCGGCCGAGCUGUUGGUCUGUCGUUCUUGCAACAUCGCUAAGGAUGGCGAGGGCGUAACUGCUGCAGCUCUCGACGCCUUCACAGACCGCUUCAAGGAACAUAUGUCGCUGUAGGUUAUUAGAGACAUGAGAGGCAUGUUCAAGCUAGAUGAUGCAAAGGCAACUGCUAUUGAGGAGGCUUUGCUGGCACAUGGAGGCGGAGGAGCGCUGAACAUGGGCAGAAAUGAAGAGGAAGCUGAGGUGCAACGAGCGAUGUCCCGAGCUCCUGCUCAAGUUGAUCCCGGAGACGCCUAGUUCCAAUGAUUGUACGACCAAUGGCAUACCAAGGGAGGGCUGGAUGCUGGGUUCCGUUUGCGUACUGCUUUAGUUACUCGUCCAGGGAGGAAUCAUGUGUGUGUGGGCGAUAUGCCUUGUAUCAGGAUAAUGGUGUUGUGCGCUGUGCCUGUAGCUGUGUUUGCACGUUCAAAAAUGUUGCUAAAAGGUUUGAUGUUUGUCGCGGAUCACUCCUGAUGGCUUUGCUUGAGGGCUCUUUCAACGUAUCUAUAAUUUUUCAUGGUUUCA